rnacentral:rRNA from 1 species
GUGUGCGUUCAUACCAACAAUAAUGUAUCGAAUUCCAUCAGAACUCUGAAGUUAAGCUUGCUUGGGAGAGAAUGGUACUAAGACAAGCUUUGUUGCCGGACCCC